GGGUUGUGAGGUUAAGCGAACAAGCGUACACGGUGGAUGCCCUGGCAGUCAGAGGCGAUGAAGGACGUGCUAAUCUGCGAAAAGCGCCGGUAAGGUGAUAUGAACCGUUAUAACCGGCGAUGUCCGAAUGGGGAAACCCGGUGCACUUCGGUGCAUCAUCGUUAGCUGAAUACAUAGGCUAACGAGGCGAACCGGGGGAACUGAAACAUCUAAGUACCCCGAGGAAAAGAAAUCAACCGAGAUUCCCCCAGUAGCGGCGAGCGAACGGGGAACAGCCCAGAGCCUGAAUCAGCUUGUGUGUCAGUGGAACGGUCUGGAAAGGCCGGCGAUACAGGGUGACAGCCCCGUACACGAAGGCACACAGGCUGUGAGCUCGAUGAGUAGGGCGGGACACGUGAUAUCCUGUCUGAAGAUGGGGGGACCAUCCUCCAAGGCUAAAUACUCCUGACUGACCGAUAGUGAACCAGUACCGUGAGGGAAAGGCGAAAAGAACCCCGGCGAGGGGAGUGAAACAGAACCUGAAACCGUGUACGUACAAGCAGUGGGAGCCUUCGUAAGAGGGUGACUGCGUACCUUUUGUAUAAUGGGUCAGCGACUUAUAUUCUGUAGCAAGGUUAACCGUAUAGGGGAGC
rnacentral:rRNA from 1 species